rnacentral:rRNA from 1 species
GACGAACGCUGGCGGCGCGCCUAACACAUGCAAGUCGAACGAGCGAGAGGGAGCUUGCUUCCUCAAUCGAGUGGCGAACGGGUGAGUAACGCGUGAGGAACCUGCCUCAAAGAGGGGGACAACAGUUGGAAACGACUGCUAAUACCGCAUAAGCCCACGACCCGGCAUCGGGUUGAGGGAAAAGGAGCAAUCCGCUUUGAGAUGGCCUCGCGUCCGAUUAGCUAGUUGGUGAGGUAAUGGCCCACCAAGGCAACGAUCGGUAGCCGGACUGAGAGGUUGAACGGCCACAUUGGGACUGAGACACGGCCCAGACUCCUACGGGAGGCAGCAGUGGGGAAUAUUGCACAAUGGGGGAAACCCUGAUGCAGCGACGCCGCGUGGAGGAAGAAGGUCUUCGGAUUGUAAACUCCUGUUGUUGAGGAAGAUAAUGACGGUACUCAACAAGGAAGUGACGGC